rnacentral:sRNA from 1 species
CCUGGGGCUCACGCCCCAGGCUGGGAUAUGCCGCGCCUUUGGCGCU